rnacentral:rRNA from 1 species
GACGAACGCUGGCGGCGUGCUUAACACAUGCAAGUCGAACGGAUUGCUUGGUGCUUGCACUGAGUGGUUAGUGGCGAACGGGUGGGUAACACGUGAGUAACCUGCGCCCUUCUUUGGGAUAAGCACCUGAAAGGGUGUCUAAUACGGAUUAUUCUGCUGGAAUCGCAUGGUUUUGGUUGGAAAGGUUUUUCUGGUGGGGGAUGGGCUCGUUGCUUAUCAGCGUGUUGGUGGGGUGAUGGCUUACCAAGGCUUUGACGGGUAACCGGCCUGAGAGGGUGACCGGUGACAUUGGGACUGAGAUACGGCCCAGACUCCUACGGGAGGCAGCAGUGGGGAAUAUUGCACAAUGGACGAAAGUCUGAUGCAGCGACGCCGCGUGAGGGAUGAAGGCCUUCGGGUUGUAAACCUUUUUCGCUUUUGACCAAGGCAGCAUUUUGGUGUUGUUGAGGGUAUGAGGUAAAGAAGCUCCGGCUAACUACGUGCCAGCCGCCGCGGUAACAC